GAUCAGUGGCGAACGGGUGAGUAACACGUGAGCAACCUGCCCUUCACUCUGGGAUAAGCCUUGGAAACGAGGUCUAAUACCGGAUACGACACUCCCGGGCAUCCGGAGGGUGUGGAAAGUUUUUCGGUGGGGGAUGGGCUCGCGGCCUAUCAGCUUGUUGGUGGGGUAAUGGCCUACCAAGGCGACGACGGGUAGCCGGCCUGAGAGGGCGACCGGCCACACUGGGACUGAGACACGGCCCAGACUCCUACGGGAGGCAGCAGUGGGGAAUAUUGCACAAUGGGCGAAAGCCUGAUGCAGCGACGCCGCGUGAGGGAUGACGGCCUUCGGGUUGUAAACCUCUUUCAGCAGGGAAGAAGCGCAAGUGACGGUACCUGCAGAAGAAGCGCCGGCUAACUACGUGCCAGCAGCCGCGGUAAUACGUAGGGCGCAAGCGUUGUCCGGAAUUAUUGGGCGUAAAGAGCUCGUAGGCGGUUUGUCGCGUCUGCUGUGAAAACUCGAGGCUCAACCUCGGGCUUGCAGUGGGUACGGGCAGACUAGAGUGCGGUAGGGGUGACUGGAAUUCCUGGUGUAGCGGUGGAAUGCGCAGAUAUCAGGAGGAACACCGAUGGCGAAGGCAGGUCACUGGGCCGCAACUGACGCUGAGGAGCGAAAGCAUGGGGAGCGAACAGGAUUAGAUACCCUGGUAGUCCAUGCCGUAAACGUUGGGCACUAGGUGUGGGGCUCAUUCCACGAGUUCCGUGCCGCAGCAAACGCA
rnacentral:rRNA from 1 species